AAUCCAAUUUUAUAAGACUGCCAUCCCAUAACACAAGAACAUCCCUUCACUCCCCAAACUGUCUCCUUUGGAGACAAUAGGUUUUUUCAAUGUCUGUGAGUCAGCAUCUGUUCUGCAAAGAAGUUCAGUUUGUCCUUUUUUCAAGUUCCACAUGUCAGUGAAAGCAUUUGAUGUUGGUUCUCAUUGUAUGGCUGAUUUUGCUUAGCAUGAUAAUUUCUAGGUCCAUCCAUGUUGCUACACAUGCUGGUAUUUCAUUCAUUUAAUGGCUGGGUCAUAUUCCAUUGUGCAUAUGUACCACAUCUUCUCGAUCCACUCCUCUGUCGAUGGACAUUUAGGUUGUUUCCAUGUCUUGGCUAUUGGAAAUAGUACUGCAAUGAACAUCGGAGUACAUGUGUUUUUCCGAGUCAUGGCUUUCUCUGGAUAGAUGCCCAAGAGUGGGAUUGCUGGAUCAAAUGAUAGUUCUAUGUUUAGUUUUCUGAGGAAUCUCCAUACUGCUUCCCACAGUGGUCACACAAAUUUACAAUCCCCCCUACUGUGUACUAGGGUUCCAUUUGUUCCACAUCCUCUCCAGCACAUUGUUUGUGGCCUUUUUGAUGAUGGCCAUUCUGGCUGGUGUAAGCUGGUACCUCAUCAUGGUUUUGAUUUGCAUUUCUCUUGUAAUGAGUGAUGUUGAACAUCUUUUCAUGUUUUUUGGCCAUCUGUAUGUCUUCUUUGGAGAACUGUCUGUUUAGAACUUCUGCCCAUUUUGCAUGAGGUUGUUUGUUUUUUUGGUAUGCAGCUGAAGAAGGUGUUUAUAAAUUUUGGAGAUGAAUCCCUUGUCAGUUGAAUCACUUGCAAAGAUUUUCUCACAUUCUGUGGGUUGUCUUUUCAUUUUGUUUAGGGUUUCCUUUGCUAUGCAGAAACUUUGAAGUUUGAUUAGGUCUCAUUUGUUAAUUUUUGUUUUUAUUGUCAAUAUUCUAAGAGGUGGAUCUGAGAAGAUGUUGCUGUUGUUUACCUCAUGAGUGUUUCGCCUAUGUUUUCCUCUAGGAGUUUUAUAGUGUCUGGUCUUAUAUCUAGGUCUUUAAUCCAUUCGGAGUUUAUUUUUGUGUACAGUGUUAUGGAGUGUUCUAAUUUCAUUCUUUUACAUGUGGCUGUCCAGUUUUCCCAGCACCCGUUUUUGAACAAGCUGUUCUUUCUCCAAUGGAUAUUCUUGCCUCCUUUGUCAUAGAUUCAUUUGGUAUUUGUGCGUGGGUUGAAUUCUGAGCUUUCUAUCCUGCUCCACUGAUCUAUAUUUCUGUCCUUGUGCCAGUACCAUACGGUUUUGAUGACUGUUGCUUUUUAGCAUAGUUUGAAGUCCAGGAGCCUGAUACCUCCUUCUCUAUUUUUCUUUUUGAGGAUGGCUUUUGCUAUUCUGGGUCUUUUGUGCUUCCAAACAAAUUUUAAGAUAUUUUGUUCGAGUUCUGUGAAAAGUGUCUUUUGUAUUUUGAUAGGGAUUGCAUUGAAUCUGUCACAACAUCUUGUUUGAUUCACCUCUUAGAAUAAUGACAAUAAAAACAAAAAUAAACCAAUGAGAAACUAAUUAAACUCAAAAGCUUUUGCACACCAAAGGAAAAAACUGAAAAAAUGAAAAUACAACACACAGAGCAGGAGAAAACCUUUGCAAAAGAUUCUGAUGACAAAUGUUUUAUCUCCAAAAUAUAUAAGCAAUUCAUAACACUCAACAACAACAACAACAACAAACAACCCAAUCAAAAAAUGGACAAAGACCUAUAUGACAUUUUUCUAAAUAGGACAUACACAUCACCAGCAGGCACAGGAAAAAGUGUUCAGCAUCACUAAUUACUAGAGAAAUGAAAAUCAAAACCACAAUAUUUUGAUACUUCAUAGUAGUUAGAAUGGCCAUUAACACGUCAACAAAAAACAAAGGAUGUGAAGAAAAGGGAGUCCUCUUACACUGCUGGUGGGAAUGUAAAUUGGUACAACCAGUAUGGGAAAUGUAUGGAGGUUCCUCAGAAAACUAAGUAUAGAACUACCCAAUGUUCCAACACUCCCACUCCUGGGCAUAUAUGCAGAGAAAACAUUCAUUUAAAAAGAUACACACACCUUUAUAUUCAUCACAGCACUAGUCACAAAAGCCAAGACAUGGAAAAAACCCAAACGUCCAAUGACAUAUAAAUGGAUUAAGAAAAUGUGGUACACACACACACACAAUGGAAUACUACUGAGCAAUAAAUACACAAUAUAAUACCAUUUGAAGCACCAUGGGUGGAACCACAGAUUCAUACUAAGUGAAGUAAAUCAGAAAGAGAAAGACAAACACAACAUGAUAUAACUUACAUGUGCAAUCUAAAAUAUGGCACACAUGAUCCUAUCUACAAAACAGAAAAACAUCAUAGGCAUGGAGAGCAGACUUGUAUUUGCCAGGGGGAAGGAGGAAGAGAAGGGGAUGAAUGGAGAGCUUGGAGUUGGUAGAUGCCAACUAUUACGGUAGAUGCCAACUAUUACAUUUCAAACAGUUGGGUAAGAGGAUCCUACUGUACAGCACAGGAAACUGUGUAGAGUCACUUGGGUUAGAACAUGAUGGAAGACAGUAUUACAAAAAAGAAUGUGUGUGUGUGUGUAUGUGUAGGACUUGGUCACAUGGCUGUACAGCAGAAAUUGAAAGAACAUUGCAUAUCAAUUAUAAUUGAAAAAUUAAAACAAUGAUAACCCCCAUAUUCUAUCAGAUUCACACAUCCUCAUUUUGCUGCAUGCAACAUUGUUUGAUGCUUGGCAGUGUGGCAACCAUGUGGGCAUUAUGAGAGAACAGAAAUUUUCCCAUCAAGACAGUUCCAGAGAAGUGAAAAAAGAGAAGGCACCUUAUGUUUUCUCAGUCCUUUUAUCAACUGUGAACAUCAACCUAUUCCCUGUUCCUUUUAUCAACUGUGAACAUCAACCUAUUCCCUGUGUACAUAACACCAAAUAGACAUUCUUUUCUAUAAAUAUGCAUCAGCUACUUCGUGGUAUAAGUGAACAUAAAACAUUAAGCAUAGAAAAGGACACAUUAUCAUAUAUCUUUACAUCAAUGCUAAAUGGCAGCACAAUCUUCAACCAAAUUUCAUCAGAGCAAUGAGCACCGUUGAAGGCACUUUCCUGCUAAUCCAGUCAAGAUAUGUAAAAAGACAAAACGGGCUGUGAAAAAUUGGGGACCAUCUAGACAAGAAACUGUUUGCAAAUGAAAAGUUCACUGCCUCUGACAGGUGGAUGAACUGCUCAUCCAUCUAGGGGAUCCCCUGAUCCAGAACACAGAAUUCAUGACAAGACCAUCACUCUGUCACGAGAAAAUGAGAAAGGAUCCUGCCACUGGUAGGUCAGCUUCCCUGGAAGGUUAUUCAUUUAAAGGAGAUAUAAUUAAUGUUGCAGUUACAUAACAUGGCAGUAGUUUUCUGUGAAACUUAGAGCACAUGCCUUGCUGACCAGUCUAAACACUGCCCAGAAGGCAGCUUCUUCUCCCAAAUUGACUCCACCAUGUGACAUUUUAAAGAUGUCUUCACAAUGUUGGUUUCAGGCACACUCCCCCUCCAUCAAACUGCCACUGAUCUAAGCCUGGGAAAUGCAAUAAUCUAAAGCAACUUAGGGUUACCAAUGAGAAAGGUGGAAGAGAGGGAUGGAUGUGGUGUUUGUGACUGGCAUAGGCACACUAUUGUCCAUGGAAUGGAUGGUUUAUAGGGACCUGACGUAUAACCCAUGGAACUCUUCUCAAUAUUCUGUGAUAACCGAUCUGGGAAAUAAUAUGAAAAAGAGUGGACAUAUGUAUAUGUAUAAAUGAGUCCCUGUUGUACAAGAAUUAUCACCACAUUGUAUGUCUACUUCUAUAAAACAUCAAGUUUUAAAAGAAGAAAAGGAAGAAAAUAAGUGAAGCAAAGUUUUCCUACUCUUCCUCUCAAAUCAAGAAGGCAGUAAUACAAGGUAUAAUUCAUUGAAAAUCAACACAAUACACUCACCAAGGGGUUACUCUCAUCUUCCAAGUAACUUCUGUAUACCAUUACAUUAAUGAAAACCAUUCUUCAAAUGCCUAAGUAUAUCCUAAAAGAAAUGGUUCAUGAAUUUUAACAAAUAAAACAAUCUAAUCAUUUCCACGACGAAUAGGCAGGCAAAAAAGACAGGAUCUGCAUGGGGAGCAUCUCCCCCCAGGUCUCAAGAGAUAGGAAAAUAAUCUAUUCAAUUUAAUGUAGACAAAAUAGAUUUAUAUUACCAAUAUGUAGGGUUAGGUAGUUUGGAAGUACUUCAUGCUGAGUUUUGAAAUUACCAGUUGUGAUCCAAUAUGUCUACAUUCUUUCUAAAAUGUGUACACACACCCUCUUCCUUUGUAGUCUUCUUACUUCUAUCUCCAUAUAUUUCCAUAUGGCAUUCCCUGUAUACAAAACCAUGAAAAUAAGAUGGGUCAAAUAGAAACAUUGUCUCAGAAUACCAAAGUCUGGAUGUUCAUUGUUCUCAUGACUUUGCCUAAUUAACAUAUUUAUGAUGAACACCCAGAAAUGUGUGGUGAGUACAGGUUCAACAACAGAAAAGGAACUCAAAGUAGAUGAGUUUAGGACUCAAAUUUCCUAAAAUAUUCAAUAGUUGGCCCAUGCCUGAAGCCCAAAGCAAGAUGCAGGGAGAGGUAGCGGCAGUAAUUUGGUGCAUACAUUUAUCAGGGACAAUGAUUGAAAUGUGGGGGGCUUCCUGGUACAAGUGCAUAUUGUUGAAUGAAAACCCAAAUGAGUAGGAUUUUCAUACUCUGAGGAGUCUUAUUGAAGGCACCCAUGAAAAGAGGAACCAGAAUUUGUCUGGAAGACUGUGGAUCACAAGGGCUGCUAGGGAGACAGGGCAAGAACUUGCAUUUGCUUCUGAGUUUGCAGC
rnacentral:lncRNA from 1 species